GAUGAACGCUGGCGGCGUGCCUAAUACAUGCAAGUCGAGCGAACGGACGAGAAGCUUGCUUCUCUGAUGUUAUCGGCGGACGGGUGAGUAACACGUGGAUAACCUACCUAUAAGACUGGGAUAACUUCGGGAAACCGUAGCUAAUACCGGAUAAUAUUUUGAACCGCAUGGUUCAAAAGUGAAAGACGGUCUUGCUGUCACUUAUAGAUGGAUCCGCGCUGCAUUAGCUAGUUGGUAAGGUAACGGCUUACCAAGGCAACGAUGCAUAGCCGACCUGAGAGGGUGAUCGGCCACCCUGGAACUGAGACACGGUCCAGACUCCUACGGGAGGAAGCAGCAGGGAAUCUUACGCAAUGGGCGAGAGCCUGACGGAGCAAAGCCGCGUGAGUGAUGAAGGUCUUAGGAUCGUAAAGCUAUGUUAUUAGGAAAGAACAAAUGUGUAAGUAACUGUGAACAUCUUGACGGUACCUAAUCAGAAAGCCACGGCUAACUACGUG
rnacentral:rRNA from 1 species